rnacentral:rRNA from 1 species
UACAGAGGGUGCAAGCGUUAAUCGGAAUUACUGGGCGUAAAGCGCGCGUAGGCGGCUUUGUAAGUUAGAGGUGAAAGCCCGGGGCUCAACUCCGGAAUUGCCUUUAAGACUGCAUCGCUAGAAUUGUGGAGAGGUAAGUGGAAUUCCGAGUGUAGAGGUGAAAUUCGUAGAUAUUCGGAAGAACACCAGUGGCGAAGGCGACUUACUGGACACAUAUUGACGCUGAGGUGCGAAAAGCGUGGGGAGCAAACAGG